GUAACGCGGCCCCUGUGUAUAAAUAGGGCAGAUCCCGGCUGCCUUCCCCACUCCGAGAUGGGGGCAGCCCUUGGGAUAACUCUGCUCUGUCCCUGGACGUCUGCCCUAAGCCAGGACAGCAUCCCAUGGCUCGGAGGGGAGCGCAGGCUCGGGAGCCCCGGGUGGGAUUUACAGCAGCUGCAGCUGUCUGGAGAAGGGAUUUCAGAGGGGCCAGCCCGACUCCGAGCUGCGGAAUGGCGAAAUCCUGGGGGGAUGGCUGUGAGUGAGCCGGGAUAAGGGCGAGUCCCUGCCAGGAGCCCGCAGCGGGAUGAUCCUGACGGGCUCCUCUGCAACUCCCGUCCCUCGGGGAAGCUGAGCUGCCACUCCCGGAGGUGACAGGUGGCACUUGGGGACUCUGCCUCUCCCUCCAGCGCCGAAGCGAUGCCGAAGC